rnacentral:rRNA from 1 species
GACGAACGCUGGCGGCGUGCUUAACACAUGCAAGUCGAACGGAAAGGCCCUGCUUUUGUGGGGUGCUCGAGUGGCGAACGGGUGAGUAACACGUGAGUAACCUGCCCUUGACUUUGGGAUAACUUCAGGAAACUGGGGCUAAUACCGGAUAGGAGCUCCUGCUGCAUGGUGGGGGUUGGAAAGUUUCGGCGGUUGGGGAUGGACUCGCGGCUUAUCAGCUUGUUGGUGGGGUAGUGGCUUACCAAGGGUUUGACGGGUAGCCGGCCUGAGAGGGUGGCCGGCCACAUUGGGACUGAGAUACGGCCCAGAAUCCUACGGGAGGCAGCAGUGGGGAAUAUUACACAAUGGGCGGAAGCCUGAUGCAGCAACGCCGCGUGCGGGAUGACGGCCUUCGGGUUGUAAACCGCUUUCGCCUGUGACGAAGCGUGAGUGACGGUAAUGGGUCAAGAAGCACCGGCUAACUACGUG